GAUCAUGGCUCAGGAUAAACGCUAGCGACAGGCCUAACACAUGCAAGUCGAGGGGCAGCGAAGAGGUAGCAAUACCUUUGCCGGCGACCGGCGCACGGGUGAGUAACACGUAUGCAAUCCACCUGUAACAGGGGGAUAACCCGGAGAAAUCCGGACUAAUACCCCAUAAUAUGGGCGCUCCGCAUGGAGAGCCCAUUAAAGAGAGCAAUUUUGGUUACAGACGAGCAUGCGCUCCAUUAG
rnacentral:rRNA from 1 species